GAUGAACGCUGGCGGCGUGCCUAAUACAUGCAAGUCGAGCGAACAGAUAAGGAGCUUGCUCCUUUGACGUUAGCGGCGGACGGGUGAGUAACACGCGGGUAACCUACCUAUAAGACUGGAAUAACUCCGGGAAACCGGGGCUAAUGCAGGAUAACAUGUUGAACCGCAUGGUUCUACAGUGAAAGGCGGCUUUGCUGUCACUUAUAGAUGGACCCGCGCCGUAUUAGCUAGUUGGUGAGGUAACGGCUCACCAAGGCAACGAUACGUAGCCGACCUGAGAGGGUGAUCGGCCACACUGGAACUGAGACACGGUCCAGACUCCUACGGGAGGCAGCAGUAGGGAAUCUUCCGCAAUGGGCGAAAGCCUGACGGAGCAACGCCGCGUGAGUGAUGAAGGUCUUCGGAUCGUAAAACUCUGUUAUUAGGGAAGAACAAAUGCGUAAGUAACUGUGCGCGUCUUGACGGUACCUAAUCAGAAAGCCACGGCUAACUACGUG
rnacentral:rRNA from 1 species